AUUGAACGCUGGCGGCAUGCUUUACACAUGCAAGUCGAACGGCAGCGCGGGCUUCGGCCUGGCGGCGAGUGGCGAACGGGUGAGUAAUGCAUCGGAACGUGCCCAGUAGUGGGGGAUAGCCCGGCGAAAGCCGGAUUAAUACCGCAUACGACCUGAGGGUGAAAGCGGGGGACCGAAAGGCCUCGCGCUAUUGGAGCGGCCGAUGUCGGAUUAGCUAGUUGGUGGGGUAAAGGCUUACCAAGGCGACGAUCCGUAGCUGGUCUGAGAGGACGACCAGCCACACUGGGACUGAGACACGGCCCAGGCUCCUACGGGAGGCAGCAGUGGGGAAUUUUGGACAAUGGGGGCAACCCUGAUCCAGCCAUGCCGCGUGCGGGAAGAAGGCCUUCGGGUUGUAAACCGCUUUUGUUCGGGAAGAAAUCCUCUGGGCUAAUACCCCGGGGGGAUGACGGUACCGGAAGAAUAAGCACCGGCUAACUGCGUG
rnacentral:rRNA from 1 species